AACACGCUCCUUAGAUCCACCUCUGGAGGGCGCUGUGCUCUGAGCAGAGCCCCUCAGCAGCUUUGUGGCUGUACAGUUGGAGGUGCUUGAGUCAUUGGCGUGUGAGAACAGUCUACCUGUCCCCCCAGCCCACCUGUAACACUGACCGCCCUGUCCUCUGUGGACAGGGGAGCUCUCAGUGCUGCAAGCCUGGGGGACGGACAUA